ensembl:rRNA 5S_rRNA 5S ribosomal RNA
AAAUACCACCCUGCAUCUCACUGCUGGCUUGCUUCUGAAGCUAAGCAGCGUUGGUCCUGGUCAGUCCCAGGAUGGGAGACCAGAUGCUACUGGAAGUGGUGUUUG